CCUACGGGUGGCUGCAGUGGGGAAUAUUGCACAAUGGGCGCAAGCCUGAUGUAGCCAUGCCGCGUGUGUGAAGAAGGCCUUCGGGUUGUAAAGCACUUUCAGCGGGGAGGAAGGCGUUAAGGUUAAUAACCUUGGCGAUUGACGUUACCCGCAGAAGAAGCACCGGCUAACUCCGUGCCAGCAGCCGCGGUAAUACGGAGGGUGCAAGCGUUAAUCGGAAUUACUGGGCGUAAAGCGCACGCAGGCGGUCUGUCAAGUCGGAUGUGAAAUCCCCGGGCUCAACCUGGGAACUGCAUUCGAAACUGGCAGGCUAGAGUCUUGUAGAGGGGGGUAGAAUUCCAGGUGUAGCGGUGAAAUGCGUAGAGAUCUGGAGGAAUACCGGUGGCGAAGGCGGCCCCCUGGACAAAGACUGACGCUCAGGUGCGAAAGCGUGGGGAGCAAACAGGAUUAGAUACCCUUGUAGUC
rnacentral:rRNA from 1 species